rnacentral:lncRNA from 1 species
AGUUAGUGCUGGGAAACAGUGCUAUGAAGGAUACAGUGGCUAGAAGUCAUCCUGUCGUCCUGCCUCACAGUAACAUCGUUACCAAAUUCUCAGCAGGUGAACCAAAUGAAAUGGUCAACUGAAAGCCAACCAGGUCUCUCCUUGUGAGAAGUGAAUUUCUUCAACGUUUAUAGACCUGAGGUGUUACAUUAUUGGAUGAAUUAAGAAAACAAUCUAACCUGAUGUGUGAAAAUUUCUGCUUGUGAGAAUCCGUGUUAUUUCAAUUAUCCAAUCAAGAGCCUAAUUCGUAUAAAAGAAACACAGCAGUUCGUUGCUCAUCUUUGUAUCUAAGGACGGUUUGUCUUGACGGAAGGCAUCUGGCUGUUUUGGGGAAAACUAUUGCCGACCUUAUUUUGACUAAAAAGUUGCCUGCCGUACCAGCAAAAAAUCACCAUGUACCAACCUAUUCAAACUUAUCCAUGGAUGAAUCUAUCCAGAAGACAGGAGUUCCGAUGCUUGUCUUGCUCUGAAUGUCUGCUUGUCACCUGCUUAGCAUUAUCGACUGUGAUUCUGGGACUCGUUGUUGUUCUACAGGACCCCUCUGACUCUGUGGUUUUCUCUAUUGGAUUAACAAUGAUAGCCAUAGGUGCUUUUUUUGUUGUCCUCACUGGAGUGACAGCCCUGUGUACGGUUACAGUCGACGAGAACUUGCGGAAAACCACGAGGCUAAGACUAGGAGUGAUACGAAAAAGCGGAAGUCUCCAAGGAACUACAGAGCCUUCCAUGACUCACUCAGUCAUCGCCAGCACCUCGCUGUAGCUGUACAUUGAACCCUGGCAUCUUCUUCUUUGGAACUAAGUCUCCUGAGCAUUGUUUUUAAAUAGAAAUAAAAUCUGGCUUUUAAAAAAA